GACUGCGUCGCUUAGUGGUUAGAGCAUCUCGUUGUGGUUUUUCCAUCACUCCUUACAGUGAUAUGCCCCGAGAAGACGGGUGUUCGAUUCACCCCGCGGUCA